GGAAAGGUGGCAGAGCGGUUGAAUGCACCGGUUUUGAAAACCGGCGUGGCUGAAAAGUCACCGAGGGUUCAAAUCCCUCCCUUUCC
rnacentral:tRNA from 1 species